rnacentral:piRNA from 1 species
UGAGUUCAAAUUCUGGCUGUGCCUCU